CGAUUUUUCACAACAAAGAUGUCGAGAUAUUGUAAAUGGGUUCCAUUGAAAGACAAACCAACAAUCUUCACCAGUUCGAUUAACUAUGAAAAAAAGAACCCACUGUAACGAACCUCGAGAUCCAUUCUUCGUCUUCGCCAUUUCGACUCUCCAAAACCCUAGAUUCGUCGCCUUCUCUAUGCUUUCACUGUAGCCGGGAAUGGAAGAUUGAGGAUUG
rnacentral:lncRNA from 1 species